UGGACUGGACUGGAGAUGGCCGUCGGGAGUGAGUCCGCUGUCUGCCGCAAGUUUCGCCCGGAGUGGGAAAGUUGGGCGGGACAUGUCCAGAUUCCUGGAAAUCUGAGGAGCAGCCUUUGGUGGAUGAAGAAUGUAAUUCUCCCUGGAGAUGUGGGUAUCCCUUUUGAAGGGGACUGAAGUAGAAUCAGCUGAUAUCCAAGGAACACGACGUCAAGACAUGCAAGAGUAUUUUGGAGUGAACUGGCAGUAAGCCUUGCAGUACCAUGGUGGCAAUAACACUGGCUGUCCUCUGGAGAUGCUGAAGCUCAGCCUUAUUUUGAACUUCUUUCUUAGACCCUGCAACCUGUUCACGAAGGACUGCUACUGAUUUGGAUUCAUAUGGUCAUGGCAGGAAGAGUAAGGAUUUGCUUCUGUCCAUUUGAGUGAAGAUUCCUGUGCUUUGCAGAGAUUUUUGGUGAGGCCUUUGCAGGCUUUUGUGGGUGCUACCUUUUCCAUCCCACUACAGUCUGGAAAAAUUCUUUGAUGAAAGACAACAAAGUACAAGAUGAUAGCAUUAUACCAUCUGAGAUGGCUUUCAAAGAAUGGAUCAAACUUUUCUGGUGAGUGCUGCACUUUAGGCCUUCACACCUGAGAGUGGACUUACUGAGGGAGUGACCAGCUCUGCUUUCACUGUGAGCUUGGAACAUGUACAGCCGGAUGAUGGAGGAUGUGACACAGGUCUGCCCUGAGGCUGUUGAUCCCUGGGUGGCCACAGCAGGUACACCUUGAAGCAUCAGUUGCAGUGCAAGAGGUCAAGCUGGAACACCUGAAAGCAUGUGACCAUGGAUAAGCCCACAACAGAGCAGCUACACCCCUAGAGGGACUGCAGCCCUCAUAGCCCACGGGUAAGGCUGUGUUGGACAAGGUUUCUUCUGGAGAUCUGUGACCAUGGCUAAGUCUAUGCCACAGUAGGUAUAAACCUGAAGAGACUGUAUCUUAUCUAUAAGGCUCCAUUUGGAGCAGGUACAACCUGCAGUCUGUGGACAAGGCAGCUGGGUUGGUAGUGCUAGAAACUGUCCUGGUGCUUUUUUUUUGCUGUUUGCCCUGUUCUUUUGCAGGCAUUAAAAGUUAACUGGUGGGUAAUAAAAUCAUGGUUCAUUUGCUACAGUUUAUGCUUGGAUGAAGCCCUGAUGUUUACUGCUGUAAACAAAAGCCCAAUUUGUGUUUUGAAUUUACUUAUCUUAUCUGAUAGAUAGAGGUAAUCAACAGGUAUUUUACAUCCUCAGUUAAUUCACUACCUUAUGGCUUGUGCCAUACUUUUUUUCUGCCUUUGUUUAAUGGAUGUUUCCAUUGUUAAAAUACUGCAUUUUGGAAAACCAGUCCAACAUCCAUUUGGUGGUUAUUUGUUUCAUUCACUUUUAAGUACACUAAUUCAGCUAUCUGAUCUUUCUAAAUUCCUCCAGUGGUUAAUGGGGCAAUGGACACUUCCAAGAUCCUCUUCACUUUGGGAUACAUUAGCAAGUACUGCAAGCCAGUGGCAGACCUGAGGAACAACAUAGUGCUGAGAAUCUGACACCAACACUACUAAAUUUAGUGAUUUUUUUUUCUUUCUUCAGAAUAGUCCUAAUCUGGUUGCAUGGACUGAAUGCCCAUUGCAUUUGGAGUGUAUUGGGUAUACUCCUGAUCUCCAUCUUCCAGUUUAUUUGAUCUUAACCAAAUAAAGGUUAUGUUCCCUGAGACUGUGUGAAUGAGUAAUAUGAACCAAAGCCCAGAAAAGAGAAGAAUUGGGAGCUUAUUUUUAAAAGCUCUGCUAUCUUCUGAUCCAGGCUAAAGCACUAAUAUAGGUACAGCCUCAAAGCACUGAUGUCAGAUUACAGUUCUGAAUUUCUUGCUGUAGCAGUCUCCCUCUUUCUUCAUUCCCCAUAGAGCAAACCUGUGGAGACUCAUCAGCUACUUCAUUGCAGAAAAGUUGGGUGCUGAGAGUUAUGCUGUGACUUCCAUGUGACACCACUGCAGUGUGGAC